CGGGGAGUAGCUCAGCCUGGUAGAGCGCUGUGCUGGGGGCGCAGAGGUCGCAGGUUCGAAUCCUGUCUUCCCGACCA
rnacentral:tRNA from 1 species